rnacentral:lncRNA from 1 species
UGAAAUAGAACUUCAUUGUUAUUAGCAUCGAUUUAAGCAUCUUGAUCUAAAUAUGAAUGAAGAAACUCUUACAAUGUUUGUAGCAUCGGUAGACUGAAUAUGUACAGAGAUAUCUCACCCUUCAAUCCGCUUGAAGACAAGUUUCUGGUAUAACAAAGUUCAUUUCUCUCUUAUUGAAAAUUUUAGGGGGUAGGAUAGUCUAAUUCUCUCGUAUGUACUCAAUCGAAUUGAAAUGUAUGUGUUAAUUUUUAACUUAAAAUGUAAACUUACAGUGAUAUGAUUCUAGGGACUAAAUCAGUACUGCAGCUCAAACCACUCCAUGGAUAUGCUCUUGGCACACAUGGAUCCCCUUCCCAAUUUUUUAUUACGCCAUAAGUUGAUCGAACGUUACUGAUUGCAUCCACUGAUUUUCCAACAUGUCAUCCAUAAAUCCAAAGUUAUAAGUCAAAAGCGUUACUUUGAACAAAGAAACAAAAAGAAGUUAACAUACCAUCACCAUUGUAUGAUUCUAGUUCGGAGAUCUGCAUCUCAACAUAAAUUUCUAAAGCAUUCAUGAUUGGAGGAAGAGUUGAAUUUUCUAUUGGGAAGAGUGAAAAUUGGUGUGUUGAUGCUGUCUGUAUAGUUGAAAAAAUAUCAUAAGAUGUUGUUGUGCUUAAAUAUCGAGGAAUAAUAGGCCCAUCCCAAUGUUCCCCAUUAUGAGUGAUGUUAAAUCCUCUGAAUUGGUUGCUCUGAAGCUUUUCAAGUUCAGCAAAGUGCAUAUAUGCAUAAAAGUUAUCAUUAUCGUUUGCUGAGUACCAUGUGAAAUUAAGGUACUUGGACCCUUUCUUUGGAGUCGCAGCAGUUUUCAUGACUAUGGGCGCUGGUUGGAAACUAUUAGAACCAUAAGCAUCUACAGAAUCAGAGGUACUUAGUGUUGCAUAGUUAUCAUCAUUGUAUGCUUCCCAUGCUCGAUCGUAAAUAUCAUCAGGAUACCUAAAGAAAACACACCAUGUUUACACAUACGAGUAUGUUUCGUUAGUAUUCAUGUUUGAGAGUGAUUUUAAAAUUAUUUAAAUCAGGUUCGAAACUACUAUGAACAUGUCUGGAAUCAUUCAAAAUAUGUUCAACUUUUGAAGGUCAUUUUUAUAUUCAAAUGAAUACAGAUAUGUUUAAGAGUGAUUUUAACCUUUCAAAACUACUCUCAAACAAAUUAUUGUUAAAGGAUAGUGAUAUGAACCGAACCUGUAUUGCUCAUUUGUUAUUGACCCCAUAUCGUAUCGACUAUAAAGGUACAAGGAAUAUAAAGUAAAGUAACUGAGAUAAGGAAGUUCUCUGAACUCUAAAGAUGAGAUGAAUGGUGUUCCCUGGCCAAUGUUGAUAAGACAGAUUUGCAAUUUAUUUGUUGAAGGUGUGUGGAUCAUCUCUGUGUAGUAGCUAUCAUCCACUCUUGUCCAUCGAGUAUUGCCCAAAUACAGAUCAAAUUUAGGAGUUUUGUUGAGCCCAUCAUAAUUUCCAUACAAGAAACUUGCUCGAAUCAAAUAUUUAGUGUCUUUAAUGGCACUUAUAUUGUAACAGUUUCUAAUUUCUUGAGGAAAACUUCUUAGAGUCCAUUGGGAUCGUUCAUAUGUCAGGAAUUCAGGCGCUACACUUUUACUUUCACCUGUCUUUAUAUAUUCUGAAUCUGAAAUAUACUUUAUAUUUGUGUCUAGAUCAUUGUAGCCUGAUGAAUUUGCUGGCAGACCACAAUCUAGACUAAGAAAGCCUGGAGAAUCAUUACUUGUAAGUCAUAUAUUUAAACUAUUUUGUUUUUUUUUUUUUCUUCCAAAAAAACAACAAACAGAGAUAGUUAUUAAACAUAUUAAUGUUUUUAGUUCUUUAGAUGAAGGUUAUCAAAUGAAAAGUUGAAGGGAUGAAAGUUAAAGGAAGUUACUUGUUUCAUCUUGAGCCUGAACAAUGAGGAAACAGAAACUAAAUAGAAGCCACCUUAACAUUGCAAUUUCCAUUGGGAAACUCUGAGCUCCUGAAGCUUGGCUACUUGCUUCCUUC